rnacentral:rRNA from 1 species
UACGUAGGGGGCUAGCGUUGUCCGGAAUCAUUGGGCGUAAAGCGCGCGUAGGUGGCCUCAUAAGUCCGCUGUGAAAGUCAAAAGGCUCAACCUUUGAAAGCCGGUGGAUACUGUGAGGCUAGAGUACGGAAGAGGCGAGUGGAAUUCCUGGUGUAGCGGUGGAAUGCGCAGAUAUCAGGAGGAACACCAAUAGCGAAGGCAGCUCGCUGGGACGUUACUGACACUGAGGCGCGAAAGCGUGGGGAGCGAACAGG